rnacentral:rRNA from 1 species
ACCUGAUGCAGCCAUGCCGCGUGUGUGAAGAAGGCCUUCGGGUUGUAAAGCACUUUCAGUUGUGAGGAAAAGUUAGUAGUUAAUACCUGCUAGCCGUGACGUUAACAACAGAAGAAGCACCGGCUAACUCCGUGCCAGCAGCCGCGGUAAUACGGAGGGUGCGAGCGUUAAUCGGAAUUACUGGGCGUAAAGCGCACGCAGGCGGUUUGUUAAGCUAGAUGUGAAAGCCCCGGGCUCAACCUGGGAUGGUCAUUUAGAACUGGCAGACUAGAGUCUUGGAGAGGGGAGUGGAAUUCCAGGUGUAGCGGUGAAAUGCGUAGAUAUCUGGAGGAACAUCAGUGGCGAAGGCGACUCCCUGGCCAAAGACUGACGCUCAUGUGCGAAAGUGUGGGUAGCGAACAGGAUUAGAUACCCUGGUAGUCCACACCGUAAACGCUGUCUACUAGCUGUGUGUGCCUUUAAGGCGUGCGUAGCGAAGCUAACGCGCUAAGUAGACCGCCUGGGGAGUACGGCCGCAAGGUUAAAACUCAAAUG